GUUAGUUUUAGGUUGGAUGUUUUUUCCUGUAAAUAUGGCGGUGAAGUUAGUUUUAGGUUGGAUAUAUUUUCCUGUAAAUACGGCGGUGAAGUUAGUUUUAGGUUGGAUAUAUUUUCCUGUAAAUAUGACGGUGAAGUUAGUUUUAGGUUGGAUGUUUUUUCCUGUAAAUAUGGUGGUGAAGUUAGUUUUAGGUUGGAUAUAUUUUCCUGUAAAUACGGCGGUGAAGUUAGUUUUAGGUUGGAUAUAUUUUCCUGUAAAUACGGCGGUGAAGUUAGUUUUAGGUUGGAUAUAUUUUCUUAUAAAUACGGCGGUGAAGUUAGUUUUAGGUUGGAUAUAUUUUCCUGUAAAUACGGCGGUGAAGUUAGUUUUAGGUUGGAUAUAUUUUCAUGUAAAUAUGGCGGUGAAGUUAGUUUUAGGUUGGAUAUAUUUUCCUGUAAAUACGGCGGUGAAGUUAGUUUUAGGUUGGAUAUAUUUUCCUGUAAAUAUGACGGUGAAGUUAGUUUUAGGUUGGAUGUUUUUUCCUAUAAAUAUGGUGGUGAAGUUAGUUUUAGGUUGGAUGUUUUUUCCUGUAAAUAUGGCGGUGAAGUUAGUUUUAGGUUGGAUAUAUUUUCCUGUAAAUACGGCGGUGAAGUUAGUUUUAGGUUGGAUAUAUUUUCCUGUAAAUACGGC